UCCCACCCACCCUGCAAGAAUGCCCCAGUGCACUGAGAAAUGCCACGCAGUAGGCAUCAACACUCUGGUGGGAGUCUGACCUCUGCUGUGUGACUCUGGACAGGGCCUGUGGCCUCUCGGAACUAUAGCCCCACAGGUGAUUCUAAGGCCUGGCCAGAGACGUGUAUGGUCGAGCCAAGGUGAAUACGGAGGUGCAAACUGGCCGUGUGUGUAACAGGUUCUGCCCCUCCUCAGGUUGGUGCAUCUGGAUGCUUCUGCAGCUGUGACCGUGAGAGCAUGAGCUUGAGAGAGGGAGACAAAGGAUCUGAAGCAGGCUCCUCACCGCUAGCACAGAACCCUACGUGGGGCUCAAACCCAUGAACCAGGAGAUUAUGACCCAAGCCGAAGUUGGAUGCCUAACUGACUGAGCCACCCAGGCGCUCCAAAAUUUUAUUUGAAAAAAAAAAAAGUGCAAGAUCUCUUUAUAUAACUCUUAUAAAAAGAAAAGAAAAGAAAAAAUUCCCCACGAUUCUGAUGAAGAGCUGGGGUGGAAAACACUGGUCUAAGACAUCAAACGACAGUACAAAGAACAGGUAUUAGAACUGUGUUCAAAUCACUUGCUGGUUGUGUGAUUACUCUGCCUAUGUGCCUCAGUUUCUCCAUCAGUGAAAUGGGUUGUUGUAAGAGUAGGGCAGAACCAUGCUGGAUGCUCCCAGCAGUUUGCAUUUCCCUUUGGGCACACAGCGAAGCCUGUGUUUCCAGCUUCCCUCAUGGGCAGGUGGGCUCAUGUGAUGGGGUGCUGGCUAAUGAACUAUGGGUGGAAGUGACAUUCACCACACCUCCACCAGGCCUGGCCCCGCAACCUCCCGCAGAGGAUCCAGUGGAGGCUGGUGGCAGCGAAGCCACGAGGCAGAGGAGGCCAGGCCCUGGACAAUGGCAUGUGCCCUGUUCCCCAGCAGCACUGGACUCUGACAUGAGAGAGAAAUAGACCUUUGUGCGUAAGUCCCUGAAAUCUGGGGUUGUUUGUUCCGGUGCUUGGCUCACCCUGACUAAACAGAGGUCUCAAUGAGGUGUACAUAUCUAAAAUACUCAGCCCCUGGAACGUGCUCAAUGAAUGCCUAAAGUAG